rnacentral:rRNA from 1 species
CCAAGGCGGCUUGAUAUUACUGAAUAACCGAUAGUGAAGAGUACCGUGAGGGAAAGGUGAAAAGAACCCCGAAAGGGGAGUGAAAAGAUCAUAAAUUCGUAAAUUUACAAGCAGUAGAAAGGCAUUUGUAUGCUUAACUUCGUGCCUGUUGAAGAAUGAGCUAGCGACUUGUAGAUUGUGGCAUUUUUUGGUUAAUUCUUGGUCGGUAAAACAUAUCGGAGCCAUAGUGAAAGCGAGGACGAAAAGUUCAUGACGAAAGUAGAAAGGUUUCUACUUUUUAUUCAUGUCACAAUUUACAAACCCGAACCCGGAUGAUCUAACCGUGAUCAGUGUGAAACUUAGUUAACACUAAACGGAGGCAUGAACUGACUGUUGCUGCAAGAACAGCGGAUGAAUUGCGGUUAGGGGUGAAAUUCCAAUCGAAUUCGGAGCUAGCUGGAUCUCCCCGAAAUGUGUUGAGGCGCAGCAAUUAAAAAUUUAUGUUCAUUAUUAGGGGUAAAGCACUGUUUUGGUACGGGCCAUGAAAAAAUGGGACUAAAUCAAGGCAAACUAUGAAUACUAAAUGGAAUUGUAUAGGUACACAAUUAAGUGCCGAUUUUAAAUUAGUGAGACAUUGGGGGAUAAGCUUCAAUGUCAAAAGGGAAACAGCCCAGAUUAUUAGUUAAGGCCCUUAAAAAAAUACUGAGUGGAAAAGGAGGUGGAGUAACUAUGACAACCAGGAAGUUUGCUUAGAAGCAGCAAUCUUGUAAAGAGUGCGUAAUAGCUCACUGGUCUAGCAGUUCAAGCGAAUCCAAGUUAUUCUGCGCUGAAAAUGAUCGGGACUAAGUAAUUUGCCGAAACUAUAGGAUAUCAAUUAAAAGUCAUAUAUUAGAACUUUUAGUAGGAAUCGGUAGGGGAGCGUUCCACAUUAGAAAUAGUAAAAGUGGGAGUGAGAAUGUUAGCUUGAGUAGCGAAAACAUUGGUGAGAAUCCAAUGCUCCAGAAACCUAAGGGUUCCUUUGGUAGGUUCGUCCACGAAGGGUGAGUCAGGUCCUAAGAUAAGGCUAUUUGCAUAGUUGAUGGAUAACAGGUCAAUAAUCCUGUACUACUGUAAAAAAUAGUGGCAUGAAAGGGACGAAGUUUGAAAUAAACCUAAAAUUCUUUUUCCAAGAAAAGCUUAAGUGUUGAAAAGAUUAUUUAUCAUUAAAUGGAAUAAAUCUCAUAAUUUUUUAGAGUACCUGUACCAAACCGACACAGGUGGUGGGUAGAACAUACUAAGGAGCGCGAGAGAACUCUCUUUAAGGAACUCGGCAAAAUAGCCUCGUAACUUCGGGAGAAGAGGUGCCAUUAAAGAAUGAUAUUAUAUAGGUUUUAUCUUAAAUGGUUGCAAUAACAAGACGCUGGCGACUGUUUACCAAAAACACAGGUCUCCGCAAAGUUACAAAACGAAGUAUGGGGGCUGACACCUGCCCAGUGCCGGUAGGUUAAGGAAGCUUGUUCACGCUCGCGACGGAAGCCCCGGUAAACGGCGGCCGUAACAAUAACGGUCCUAAGGUAGCGAAAUUCCUUGUCGGGUAAGUUCCGACCCGCACGAAUGGUGUAACGACCGGCGUACUGUCUCAAAGAGAGGCUCGGCGAAAUAGACAUGUCUGUGAAGAUGCGGACUACCUGCACUUGGACAAAAAGACCCUAUGAAGCUUUACUGUAUCCUGAUAUUGAUUUUGGGUUUUGUUUGUAUAGAAUAGGUGGGAGGCAACGAUAAUUUUUUUAUGAAAAGUUUGAGCCAACAGUGAAAUACCACUCUUGCAAAACACAAAGUCUAACUUUAUACUGUGAAUCAGGUUAAAGGACAGUGUUUGGUGGUCAGUUUGACUGGGGCGGUCGCCUCCUAAAGCGUAACGGAGGCGCGCGAAGGUUGGCUCAGAGCGGUCGGAAAUCGCUCGUUGAGUGCAAUGGCAUAAGCCCGCCUGACUGCGAGACUGACAGGUCGAGCAGAGUCGAAAGACGGCCAUAGUGAUCCGGUGGUCCCAAGUGGGAGGGCCAUCGCUCAACGGAUAAAAGGUACGCCGGGGAUAACAGGCUGAUGAUGCCCAAGAGUCCAUAUCGACGGCAUUGUUUGGCACCUCGAUGUCGGCUCAUCGCAUCCUGGGGCUGGAGCAGGUCCCAAGGGUUCGGCUGUUCGCCGAUUAAAGCGGUACGUGAGCUGGGUUUAGAACGUCGUGAGACAGUUCGGUCCCUAUCUGCCGUGGGCGUUUGAGAUUUGAGAGGAGCUGUCCUUAGUACGAGAGGACCGGGAUGGACGCACCUCUGGUGUUCCGGUUGUCACGCCAGUGGCACUGCCGGGUAGCUAUGUGCGGACGGGAUAACCGCUGAAAGCAUCUAAGCGGGAAGCCCCCCUCGAGAUGAGAUCUCACUGGGCCCUUGAGGCCCCUUAAGAGCCGUCGAAGACUACGACGUUGAUAGGCUGGGUGUGGAAGUGC